UAAGGAAUAUUGGUCAAUGGGCGCAAGCCUGAUCCAGCCAUGCCGCGUGAGUGAAGAAGGCCUUCGGGUUGUAAAGCUCUUUCGGACGGGAAGAAAUGGCGGGCUCUAACAUAGCCUGUCGAUGACGGUACCGUAAGAAGAAGCACCGGCUAACUACGUGCCAGCAGCCGCGGUAAUACGUAGGGUGCGAGCGUUAAUCGGAAUUACUGGGCGUAAAGCGUGCGUAGGCGGUUUCGUAAGUCGGGUGUGAAAGCCCCGGGCUCAACCUGGGAAUUGCAUUCGAGACUGCGGAGCUGGAGUGCGGAAGAGGGAAGUGGAAUUGCCGGUGGAGCGGUGAAAUGCGUAGAUAUCGGAAGGAACAUCAGUGGCGAAAGCGACUUCCUGGUCCAGCACUGACGCGCAGGCACGAAAGCGUGGGGAGCAAACA
rnacentral:rRNA from 1 species